CCUACGGGAGGCAGCAGCAAGGAAUUUUGGGCAAUGGGCGAAAGCCUGACCCAGCAACGCCGCGUGGGUGAAGAAGGCCUUCGGGUCGUAAAGCCCUUUUCUGUGGGAAGAGAAAGGACGGUACCACAGGAAUAAGCCUCGGCUAACUACGUGCCAGCAGCCGCGGUAAUACGUAGGAGGCGAGCGUUGUCCGGAUUUACUGGGCGUAAAGAGCGCGUAGGCGGUUUGCUAAGUCGAAUGUGAAAUCUCCCGGCUUAACUGGGAGGGUGUGUUCGAUACUGGUGAGCUUGAGGGCAGCAGAGGAAAGUGGAAUUCCCGGUGUAGUGGUGAAAUGCGUAGAUAUCGGGAGGAACACCAGUGGCGAAAGCGGCUUUCGGGGCUGUUCCUGACGCUGAGGCGCGAAAGCGUGGGGAGCAAACAGGAUUAGAUACCCCUGUAGU
rnacentral:rRNA from 1 species